UGCUCUCUUUUGCUUCCUGAUUUUAAUUGUGAACCAGAGACAUCAGACAUUUGGGAGUCGACAAAAUCUGUAAAACUACUAGUUAUAUCGAAAUAAAAAACAAGGUUAACAAAAAUACAAUCGGUACACCUAAAUAAAAAUCAAACACUUUUUUUUAUUUCACCUCUAAAAUACUUAAUGUUGGUGUAAUUUCAAUUUAUUGAAUUCAAUAACAUACAGUAAUUAUUUUGGAAUUCAGCCUCCUAGUUGUAAUUCAGAUACAGAGAUACUUUCCAGUUGGUGGAAAGAAUUACAGACGUGUCAACAAACUGGGGGUCUGAUGAAGGCAGGAAACUCACAGUCACUGGGAUUUGCAUCUAAGUAAGAUUCAAUACACUAAGCUGAGGAAGCAAGAAAACGUGUUAAAGAACCACUACAAACUUGAAAGAUUGAAAGAAAGAAGAAAAAAUCUGAAAGUUAACAUCCAAAACUAUGCUAAAGACCGCCUCCUGCCAGCUAUGCUAACGGUCCUGUUGAAACUCCAAUGGGUUCAUGCAGUGGCAGAGAAAGUGUGUUUAGCCUGCUAUCUGGACAGCAUCAAAUCACCUGCUAAUGCACAACAUUAUUCUAGUUAACAUAACAGAGGAACCUCUUCUCCAGGAGCUCCAGAUAAUUAACAGACAAAUCAGAUUCAGCCAUCCGUUCUCCUCGCACCAGCCAAUCGUCAUCCAGAUCUACUUCUGUGUUGGAACGAGCUCAUCGAUGUCUCUGCCGCCCUCCAGCCUCUUCUCCAUGGCGAUGAGCAGUUUGACCCCGUCCACCACCAGCUGGGUCAGUCCCACUUCGCUCACGCCGAAGGUCGCCGCAUUGCUCACACAAUACAGCGCCGGGGAUUCUGGGAAAUGAAAAGGCAGAUCCUCAGUCUCUUCAGGACGUCCUGCAGCCGUUUGUGUUGUGGGAGGUGCUGCAGUUUUAGGUGGACCCUGAUCCUCAGACCCGUCCCCACGUCGGCCGGAGAGCUCGACACCCACCCCAGCUGCUGCUUCCAGAUGAACGGGUGUCUGAGCUUCCUGUAGAAGUCCUCCAGCUGGAAAUACAGAGAGCAGCAAACUGCCAAAGGCUCAAAGCUGCUGAAGGUCAAAGGUCAGAGACACUUUGUCAAGAACUCAGAAACUCCCUCAAAGAUAUCCUCCACAAAAAGUCUCACAGUAUGAGGUAGUACUUUUCAAGGGCCGAGAACUAUUUGGAGUAAGUUUGUAGUUUUUAACUUUGCUGACAAGCUCCAUUUUAAGAACCAUGGAGUUUUACCCUGAACCAUCCUGGAUCUUUGAGGCCGAAACUGAUUAAAAAAAAAUCUGCUGACAAAAUAUCAGCUCAUAAUAAACAAACAAUCUCUAUACAGACUUUCAUGUGACCAAGAUAAACGCCAAGCUGGACGUUUUACAGUGUAGAAAUCCACUCAUUGUGAACUGCAGUAUUUCGUUAGCGGCCGACUAAAAUCCAGAUACCGAUAAAUCUGCAACGAGGUUAUAUCUUCUGAUAUGUUUGCCUGGUCCAGUUCUACAGAGGUCCACUGGAUGAUGUGACCUGAGAUUUAUAUGAAAGAAAGUGUCACAAUAGUGCACUAGUUCUAGACUCUGGACUGGCCUGUGUGCUGAUUGCUUAGGUUUGGUCUGAUAGAGCAUUAUACUGUUAUACUGGAAAUACAUUAGGUUUGGUUCAUUAUCUCACUUAAGUAUAAACAUCUGGAGGAAGGCAGCAGACAUCUAAAAAGCCUUGUAAAUUAUAAUCUACGAACCAGCUCUCAUUAGAGGUAGAGAGGUGAGAAACAGAUUAAUUUUAAUGAAAGAAAACCUUCCAGAGAGUCAGACCGUCACUGACCUUCUGCAGGUUGAUGCAGAUGCAUUUGAACGCCUCUGCGAUGUUGGCGUCCAUCCGCGUGGACACGAGCCUGAGGUGGUCCUCCAUGUUGACCCAGACCACGAGGCUGCCAUCUUUACUCACCCUGCAACGAGGAAUCACGGGACAUUACAUGUUUGACAACAGUCUGAGUCGUCAGUCUAAUUUAAUUCUCUAUUAAACUCCACAGGCAGCAGCAGGCAGGUUCAGUGUUCUUAGGAAGUGUGACGUUUGGUGUCUUGCAGACCGAUUUGAAUAACUGGUCUCUCAGGUUCCAGUUCCUGCUCCUAAUGUACGCUGGUCCUGCAUUACUUUCAUCUGGGAGCUCUUUUUUCCAAAGUGUCUUUUGGAGCAGUUUGGGGAUCAGUGCAUGCUGAAGGACAGUUUGUAGGGGCUCAGGAGGUGGAGCGCUCCAGGUUUGACCCCUGGCUCUUCCAGAGGGUUCAAGUGUCCUUGAGCAUUGAACCCUUAAACAAGGUUGGUACCAGCCUCUGCCAACACUAGAUGAAUGUGUGAGUGUUGGUCGUGUUGUAAAGUGCUUUGAGUGGUCAGUAAACUAGAAGAGCACUAUAUGAACCAUGAGUCCAUUUAACAUUUGACAUGUGGACAGAAGGAGCUGAGGAUCAAACCUCCAACCUUACAGUUCAUGGCGGAGCUGUUUGACCACCCUUCUCUCCCUAGAAUAUAAACCAGACUGUUGCAGACUGACCAGACUGCCCUGGCGUCGGGCCAGUCCCGGGCCACACCGGUACGAAGCUGGAAGGAAGACGGAGGGUUCAGGUUCAGCUCCCUCUGCUGCUCCAGAUUCAGCUCCUCCAGUAAGAGGAGUCGACCCGGCAGCUGCUCCUCGUCCAGCCGCUGCAGAGCUGAGAGCAAAGAGGAGACUCUGGUUUACUACGACUGGUUAAAGGGAUAGUUUGGGAUUUCUGAUGUGUUGGUUGCGCACUGUAUAAAGCAAAUGGCUGUCUGACAGCGAGAUAAAGAGCUGAAAAUAUUAAACACUUGAACUGA